rnacentral:rRNA from 1 species
AGAGUUGAUCAUGGCUCAGGAUGAACGCUAGCGACAGGCCUAACACAUGCAAGUCGAGGGCAGCACAAGGAGUAAUCUGAGGUGGCGACCGGCGCACGGGUGAGUAACACGUAUGCAACCUGGCUGUAAGAGGGGAAUAACCCGGAGAAAUCCGGACUAAUACCGCAUAAUACUUAGAAUCCGCAUGGAUUUAAGUUAAACAUUUAUGGCUUACAGAUGGGCAUGCGUAUGAUUAGCUGGUUGGAGAGGUAACGGCUCCCCAAGGCAACGAUCAUUAGGGGUUCUGAGAGGAAGGUCCCCCACACUGGUACUGAGACACGGACCAGACUCCUACGGGAGGCAGCAGUGAGGAAUAUUGGUCAAUGGACGCAAGUCUGAACCAGACCCAAGUCGCGUGAAGGAAGAAUGUCCUAUGGAUUAGUAAACUUCUUUGGAAGGGAAUAAAGUACGGUACGUGUUACCGUUUGUAUGUACCCUUCGAAUAAGGAUCGGCUAACUCCGUGCCAGCCGCAGC